rnacentral:rRNA from 1 species
UACGUAGGUGACAAGCGUUGUCCGGAUUUACUGGGCGUAAAGAGCGCGCAGGCGGUCGAUCAAGUCGAGUGUGAAAGCCCCCGGCUCAACUGGGGAGGGUCACGCGAUACUGAUCGACUCGAAGGCAGGAGAGGGUAGUGGAAUUCCCGGUGUAGUGGUGAAAUGCGUAGAUAUCGGGAGGAACACCAGUGGCGAAGGCGACUACCUGGCCU